AACGAACGCUGGCGGCAUGCCUAACACAUGCAAGUCGAACGAGCCCUUCGGGUGUUUUGUCGCACGGCUUCGUAACGCGUGGGAACCUGCCCUUAUGUUCGGACUACCUCUCCGAAAGGGGUGCUAAUACCGGAUAAUGUCUACUGACCAAAGAUUUAUCGCCUUUGGAUGGGCCCGCGUUGGAUUAGCUAGUUGGUAGGGUAAAAGCCUACCAAGGCGACGAUCCAUAGCUGGUCUGAGAGGAUGAUCAGCCACACUGGGACUGAGACACGGCCCAGACUCCUACGGGAGGCAGCAGUGGGGAAUAUUGGACAAUGGGCGAAAGCCUGAUCCAGCAAUGCCGCGUGAGUGAUGAAGGCCUUAGGGUUGUAAAGCUCUUUUACCCGGGAUGAUAAUGACAGUACCGGGAGAAUAAGCUCCGGCUAACUCCGUG
rnacentral:rRNA from 1 species